AGAGUUUGAUCCUGGCUCAGGACGAACGCUGGCGGCGCGCCUAACACAUGCAAGUCGAACGAGAGAUGAGGAGCUUGCUCUUCAAAUCGAGUGGCGAACGGGUGAGUAACGCGUGAGGAACCUGCCUCAAAGAGGGGGACAACAGUUGGAAACGACUGCUAAUACCGCAUAAGCCCACGGCUCGGCAUCGAGCAGAGGGAAAAGGAGCAAUCCGCUUUGAGAUGGCCUCGCGUCCGAUUAGCUAGUUGGUGAGGUAACGGCCCACCAAGGCGACGAUCGGUAGCCGGACUGAGAGGUUGAACGGCCACAUUGGGACUGAGACACGGCCCAGACUCCUACGGGAGGCAGCAGUGGGGAAUAUUGCACAAUGGGGGAAACCCUGAUGCAGCGACGCCGCGUGGAGGAAGAAGGUCUUCGGAUUGUAAACUCCUGUUGUUGAGGAAGAUAAUGACGGUACUCAACAAGGAAGUGACGGCUAACUACGUGCCAGCAGCCGCGGUAAAACGUAGGUCACAAGCGUUGUCCGGAAUUACUGGGUGUAAAGGGAGCGCAGGCGGGCGAUCAAGUUGGAAGUGAAAUCCAUGGGCUCAACCCAUGAACUGCUUUCAAAACUGUUUUUCUUGAGUAGUGCAGAGGUAGGCGGAAUUCCCGGUGUAGCGGUGGAAUGCGUAGAUAUCGGGAGGAACACCAGUGGCGAAGGCGGCCUACUGGGCACCAACUGACGCUGAGGCUCGAAAGUGUGGGUAGCAAACAGGAUUAGAUACCCUGGUAGUCCACACCGUAAACGAUGAUUACUAGGUGUUGGAGGAUUGACCCCUUCAGUGCCGCAGUUAACACAAUAAGUAAUCCACCUGGGGAGUACGACCGCAAGGUUGAAACUCAAAGGAAUUGACGGGGGCCCGCACAAGCAGUGGAGUAUGUGGUUUAAUUCGAAGCAACGCGAAGAACCUUACCAGGUCUUGACAUCCGAUGCAUAGUGCAGAGAUGCAUGAAGUCCUUCGGGACAUCGAGACAGGUGGUGCAUGGUUGUCGUCAGCUCGUGUCGUGAGAUGUUGGGUUAAGU
rnacentral:rRNA from 1 species